GAUCUGAUAGCUCAGCUGGUAGAGCAUCUCCCUUUUAAGGAGAGGGUCCAGGGUUCGAGCCCCUGUCAGAUCA
rnacentral:tRNA from 1 species